CAUCCAUGUUGAUUAAGGAAUCUUAGCUCUUAAAAGGUUCUACGAAUUACAUUUUUUCCACCCAAGCCUAUGAUCACUCAAUUGGCUGUGUAAGGUAGUUUGAUAGGAGCUCGCAUUAUUUUUCUGAUUCAAAGAGAGUCUUUUCAAGCGCUACUUAAUUCAGGAUGAGAGGUCAAUGAUUUCCCCGAGUCCAGAAAUGUCUCCUUUCAAUCCUGUGUAGCUGAAGGAAUCGCGACACCUUUCCCCGACAGUCUAGAUAAACUCUCUCCUGAUCCAUCUUCACAGUAUCUAAAACCAGGGAACAUGUUCUCCUCACAGAAUACAGACCCACAGGUCCUGACCAAGAAGGGACCUUGAAAGCAAACAGAGCUCCUGUCUUUAAUCCAAGAAAGUAAUAUUAUAUCUAUAUUAAAGACAAUGCAACUAAGAAACAACGCAUGUACGUGGCUUUAACAAGAUCCCAAUAACUCUCUUCAAACUCUGACUUGGUCGAUAUGAAUAGAGAGGAAGUCCAUGUCCACAAACUACAGGCAUUCAUUUAAGUAAAAGUCCACAGAAGCAUGUAUCUAUCUGCAGCACGAUUUAAGUCUCUUGAUUUGCAGAAUGGAAUUCUGAUAUGUUUUAUUAC
ensembl:lincRNA